GUUUUCCACAACAGCAGUGCCACUUCCACUUUUCCACAACUGAAUGGUGGUUACGAAAUUGAAAUUACUCUGCCAUUAUUUUUCCAAAUCAUUCAUCCACUUCUACUCUUUCCAUAUUCAUCGGCAGUUACGUUCUUGAAAUCAUGGUUUCAACGAUCUCUCGGUGACGGUCCAGGAUGUUUGAUGCUGAGAUGUCCUGAUCCCUCUUGUGGUGCUGCUAUUGAUCAAGAUAUGAUUAAUCUUUUAGUAUCUGACGAAGAUAAAGAGAAGUGUGAUCAUUACCUUCUUAUAUCAAACUCUUGA